AGAUUGAACGCUGGCGGCAGGCCUAACACAUGCAAGUCGAGCGGUAGAGAGGUGCUUGCACCUCUUGAGAGCGGCGGAUGGGUGAGUAAAGCCUAGGAAUCUGCCUGGUAGUGGGGGAUAACGCUCGGAAACGGACGCUAAUACCGCAUACGUCCUACGGGAGAAAGCAGGGGACCUUCGGGCCUUGCGCUAUCAGAUGAGCCUAGGUCGGAUUAGCUAGUUGGUGAGGUAAUGGCUCCACCAAGGCGACGAUCCGUAAC
rnacentral:rRNA from 1 species